rnacentral:tRNA from 1 species
GCUCAGUUAGCUCAGUUGGUAGAGCACACGCUUCACACGCGUGGGGUCACUGGUUCGAGUCCAGUACUGAGCA